rnacentral:tRNA from 1 species
GGGGGCGGAUCCGGGCUGGUGCCUGGGCCGAUCUUCAAAAUCGCGACGGACGCCGCUCCGCGGGGUCCGGUGGGUUCGAUUCCCACACGCUCCCG